UUGAGGAUUUAGUGGUCCUUUUGGGUCAUGGCCAAUGUUCCUCCUCUGAAAUGGGUCAGCAGCUUAUCUGUAGCUGGACUGGAGGAGUUCGGUCUCGCUGAUGGUGGAUUGGAGGACUUCUGCCAAAUUAAUUCAAAAAUUAGGUCAAAUAUUAAGUGGAUAAUCCCAUGUCAAAGAUGUAUAUCAUAAAGAUGGAAACAAAUUUUAAAGCUCAUAUCUAAGAAGUAGAUUUUCAUUAACAGUUUAGCCAUUCCAGAAUAUAAUGUGUUUAAGGAUCCCUAAUUAGUGAUGUCUAAAACAAUAAAGGACAUUAAUGAGUGCCAUUCACUUGUAUAUAACAUGCAGACACUUGAGCAGUUACAAAUUAAGAGAUUUAUACAUUUAUAAUCAGAUACAUUUUGAAAUUAUUGUAUGUGUUAUUUCAUGUGAAUACAUUUUUAAAUGAAUAUGUAUCAUGAUUAUAUUGUAUAAAUCCUGACAAACAAGUAAUACAUUUUUAAACUAUAUAGUAAAACAAAGGUUAAACGUUUUAAAUCAAUAAAUUUAGUUGUUCCAAAUGCCCCUAUGCAGGCUGAUUAUCUUAAUAUUUGUAAGCAUAAAUAAUAGAAAAACAUUGAUCCUGUUGCAUAUUAAAAUAUCAGAUGCAAAACCCUCUAAGAAAUCCUCAGUCAACCUACGUUACUCAAAUAAUUUUGCUUCAAACCCCACUAAAUAACACACUCUGGCUCUGAAAAUACAUGGAGGAUUCAGAUAAAAUUACUCGUUUAAGAAAAUUGUUCCAAUUAACAACAACAGCACCGACCACACUUACCUAAAAACAGCCGUUGAAGAAGAGACGAGAAGAAUCCUGGGCGGGAAUAUAGUUUUCGAAUCCAAAGUAUCCCGUGAACCUGACUCAAAUCAACCAAUCAGAUGACGCGAGAAGCUGUCGUGAUCAUGUAAAUCGCGCCAAAACAAUUAACCAGCCAAUGGAUGAACUGAUCCAGAUGCAAACUGGUUGAAAACUUGGUGGGAGGAGUCGGAGUUCUGCGCACGCGCAUAGACUGCACAUUUGAUUUAAUUGCCAACUGCCACCGAUUCGUCUGAGGUAAGCAAUGUUUUUUGAGUUUACACAGUUCCUUAUACUAAAAUAUAAAAUAAGAACCAACUUGUUGUUCUUAUACUGUUCUGGGUUUUGAAACGUUCUUGCAUUAUAAUCUUGUAAUUUAUUGUCGUGAUAGCACACGGUCUGUCUGAUGUGGAAAAUGUUGAAAGGCCACAUGCAGCAUCGAUAAAGUGUAAAGCAUAAUUUAAGAUAGGCGUUUGGCUAUUUCAAUGCUCGAGGUAGAUGCGAUGGUUUAUUACAGCAAAUAGCAAACAAUUACUAAAUCUUACUAAAACUUACAACAACACAUGAGCUCAUAUAUGUAAAUAAAACGUUUAUUUGUUAAAAAGCAGCAAAAAGUAAGUAAUGAAAUAAGAACAAAAAAUAAUUUGAACAGAGACAAAUGAUGUAAACAGUAUGUUAUAUCUAGAUCUGAAAGUUAUUUAAGCGUUCAUUAGUUGAACUUUAUAUUCACUGUAAUUAAAUGUACAGACUGCUAUAAACGGAGGCAGUCACUGUUGUGCUUAACAUAUGUCUUUUGAGUGUUGUUGAAUUCUUAUAAUUUCUGACUGUGAUUGAAUGUAAAAAACAUUAUUGUUCUUAUCUAAUCUUUAAUGGUUUCAGGUUGUGUCUGAACAUCCCCUUUAUCAGAGUGUUCUGGUGCACUUGCUUUGCAUGCCGUGCUUUUCCUGUACCACUGUAGGUCUUUUUUUUUCUGUGAGACCCAGCUGAAGAUAUCAAGAGCUCAGAUGUUGGCCUACAGUUCAUUACACUGACUUCUUUGAUGUUCCCUGAAAGACUGACUACUACCAUUUCAUUAAGCUAAACCGAGAACCUGUGACAGUUUGUGGAGUUUGAAUUUAAAGUCACACAUGUCUAUCAAUAAAUUGAAUGUUUUGUCAUGAGCUGCUGUUUUCUAUUUGUCUUUCACAACAUCACUUUUACCUUUUCAAAGUCUUGCAGUUUGUGUUUACAUUGUGUUAGCAUAUUUUUUUAUUGGCUCAAUGUUUGUUAUACAAAGUAAAAAAAUUUUUUUGCUAUUAAACAUA